GUACGUAUAUAUUUAUAUACUUAUUUAAUUUGUUUUUUCUUUUUAGAACAUAAAUACUCUGGUGGUUUAUUUCAAUCAGCGAAACAUGGACAAUAAAUUGGAAAAAAAAACAAAAAAAAAAAAAAAAAAAAAAAAAAAAAACAAACAAACAAACAAACAAACAAACAAGUAAAAAAAUGAAUAAAUAAAUUAAUUAAUAUAUAAGUUUGCAAAUGAAUAUUUUUGUCAUGCGUGCAUAGAAAUGUUCAAUAUGUUUUACGUUUUCACGAAUGUAUUUACUAUUUUUUUAUUUCUUUUUUAAGGUUGAAUAUUUGAAAAAUCAGAUGAAACCUAAAAAGAGGAAAAGGAGGCUUAAAAACAAAGAACUUCUAUUUAACACUAAAACUUUAGAUCUUUCUAAAAAAUAUAGUACAAUACCACCAAGCAUUACGAACUACAGUCAAAACGAUAUAGAAGAAGUUCAGAAAAAGGCCGAGGGUUUCGCAUUUGUUGGCUAUAACCAAAAAAGGCUUUUAACACAAAUCACUCCAUGUGAUUAUAAAAGUGUUUUAAAUUUACCUAUUUGUAAUAAAAUAUUUACUAUAAAGUGGAAGGAACAGCAAAAUACGUUUAUUAACCAUUUGCAUCAUGACUUAGUUCCUGACUCGGAAGAAAUAAAAAAGCACUUUGAAAAUAUUUAUAUAAGAUAUAUGGAGUAUGAUAAAAAAAAGAAAGCAAUGAGAAUAAAAAAAAAGUCUAAGUUAAAUGUAUUAAAAAAUGGAAAAGAUAGUACCGAAGGUGGUAAAGCUGACAAUAAAUGUAAAACAAAAAAAAAAAACUUUUAUAAAAAUAACGAAACAAUGAAAAAAGAAACUAAAAUUAAAAGACCUCGUAAAAAACUUGACGAGGCAGUAGUAGCUAAUAGAAAAAAUAAAAAAACGAAACUGAAAACAAAAGAAAAUGUAGAAACAAAUAAUAACACUGAAGAAAGUAAAAAUGUAGAACAAAACGAAAAUACUAUGAAUACUAUUUUAAUCGAUGAACAAGAGAAUAUGAAAAAACAAAACAAAACAGUAAAAGAAAAAAAAAAAAAAAAAAAAAACAUCUAGAUUUAUCAAAUGAUAAUUUGGCUAAAUUAACAAUCGAUCAGAAUAAAAUAUUACAAGCUUCAUUAGACUUUAUGAAU
rnacentral:lncRNA from 1 species